rnacentral:rRNA from 1 species
UACAGAGGGGGCAAGCGUUGUUCGGAAUUACUGGGCGUAAAGGGCGCGUAGGCGGCCUGUUAAGUCGGACGUGAAAUCCCUCGGCUCAACCGGGGAACUGCGUCCGAUACUGGCGGGCUUGAAUUCGGGAGAGGGAUGUGGAAUUCCACGUGUAGCGGUGAAAUGCGUAGAGAUGUGGAGGAACACCAAUGGCGAAGGCAGCCUUCUGGGCCAACACUGACGCUCAUGCACGAAAGCGCGGGGAGCAAACAGG